rnacentral:rRNA from 14 species
AGGAAGUUGCAAAAGUCAAACUCGGGGUUGAGGGGCACGUUGAGCGUCUUGACGGCCUUGAGCCAGUUGUCCUUGAGCAGCCGCGAGCGGUACUCUGAGUCGAACGGCCCGCAGUAAGAGAGGAACGCGGCGGCA